rnacentral:rRNA from 1 species
GACGAACGCUGGCGGCGUGCUUAACACAUGCAAGUCGAACGGAAAGGCCCUGCUUUUGUGGGGUGCUCGAGUGGCGAACGGGUGAGUAACGCGUGAGUAACCUGCCCUUGACUUUGGGAUAACUUCAGGAAACUGGGGCUAAUACCGGAUAGGGGCUCCUGCUGCAUGGUGGGGGUUGGAAAGUUUCGGCGGUUGGGGAUGGACUCGCGGCUUAUCAGCUUGUUGGUGGGGUAGUGGCUUACCAAGGCUUUGACGGGUAGCCGGCCUGAGAGGGUGACCGGCCACAUUGGGACUGAGAUACGGCCCAGACUCCUACGGGAGGCAGCAGUGGGGAAUAUUGCACAAUGGGCGGAAGCCUGAUGCAGCAACGCCGCGUGCGGGAUGACGGCCUUCGGGUUGUAAACCGCUUUCGCCUGUGACGAAGCGUGAGUGACGGUAAUGGGUAAAGAAGCACCGGCUAACUACGUG